AAUAAGUGUAGUUUUACACUAUUUAUCUUCAACGUUUUACCGUUUGUCUUAUGUGAAAAAUUUUUAUGAUUACUAUUGUUAUUGUUAUUAGAUGAUAAAAUAUGAAUAGUACUUUAUGUAUGACUAUUUUUUAAAAAAAAUUCAUAAUCAAAUAAGAUGGACGGUCAAACGUUGGACACGAAUUUCUACGGCUGCAUUUAUU
rfam:Oryza rufipogon genomic scaffold, chr09